GCCCAUGUAGCUCAGCAGGUAGAGCACACGACUGUUAAUCGUGCGGUCGAAGGUUCGAGUCCUUCUAUGGGCG
rnacentral:tRNA from 1 species